rnacentral:rRNA from 1 species
CCUACGGGAGGCAGCAGUGGGGAAUAUUGCACAAUGGGGGAAACCCUGAUGCAGCGACGCCGCGUGAGUGAAGAAGUAUUUCGGUACGUAAAGCUCUAUCAGCAGGGAAGAAAAUGACGGUACCUGACUAAGAAGCCCCGGCUAACUACGUGCCAGCAGCCGCGGUAAUACGUAGGGGGCAAGCGUUAUCCGGAUUUACUGGGUGUAAAGGGAGCGUAGACGGCAGCGCAAGUCUGGAGUGAAAUCCCAUGGCUUAACCAUGGAACUGCUUUGGAAACUGUGCAGCUAGAGUGCAGGAGAGGUAAGCGGAAUUCCUAGUGUAGCGGUGAAAUGCGUAGAUAUUAGGAGGAACACCAGUGGCGAAGGCGGCUUACUGGACUGUAACUGACGUUGAGGCACGAAAGCGUGGGGAGCAAACAGGAUUAGAUACCCUAGUAGUC